rnacentral:rRNA from 1 species
GAUGAACGCUAGCUACAGGCUUAACACAUGCAAGUCGUGGGGCAGCACGGGAAGCAGCAAUGCUUUUGGGUGGCGACCGGCGAAUGGGUGAGUAACGAGUAUCCAACCUGCCCCGUGCUCCGGGACAGCCCCGCGAAAGCGGGAUUAAUACCGGAUGGUGCGUAUGUUCCGCAUGGGAUAUACGUCAAAGAUUCAUCGGCACGGGAUGGGGAUGCGUCCGAUUAGCUGGUUGGCGGGGUAACGGCCCACCAAGGCGAUGAUCAGUAGCCGGUCUGAGAGGAUGAACGGCCACAUUGGGACUGAGACACGGCCCAGACUCC